rnacentral:lncRNA from 1 species
UUUUUUUUUUUUUUUUGUGCAAGACAGAAUCAUCUCAUUAUUUACAACAAAAGAUGUCCUCUUCCUAUCACAAGAAGAAGCCAGAAAACAAGAAACAACACAAACUCUGUAACAUUUUUAAUUUUACUUUUUCUUUUACCUUUAAGAUAUUGAUUUAAAAAGACUACCAUUGUCACAAAGCCAGGGGAAGGAGAGAGAUUCCUACAGUCUUUUUUUUCCCCUCAGAACUAUAAGGUUCUUAACUUCUCCAGUAGUAAAGUACUUUCCAAAGUACUUUCAGGACAUAGUUCCAAUGUUUCUUUUCAGGCAGUUCUUAAGAAUGUUGGAAUGUGAACAACAACAAAAAAUGUUGCUUCAACUGCAGUCUUCACUCUGCAUUUGGCCCACAAGCACUGCUGAUGUUGCAGAAUAAGGACCAGCGACACCAUGAGCAACUUGAAAAAAAAUUUUUUUGGACUGACAAAGUGCAUGUUAUGCAAGACUUAAUUGUAUACACUUCUCUACACAGAGAGAACAGCACAAUGGUCACAGGAUAAAAUCCAAUGAAUUGAAUACACUGGGCAUUUUAAUUACAGAAAACUGGGCAUUCUUACCAUAAUUGUUUAUAAUAACCAUAUCCAUUGUGCUGCAUUAAACCAGUUCUGAUUUUAGGACUUAAGCAAACUAGACCCAGACACACAGACUGAUUUCCAACUCCCUAUUGCCACUGUAGACUAAACAACUAUUGGUCAUUAAUAAAACAUCAAGAUGAGAUAUAAAUAUACACAUCCUCCCCCACAAAGGUAUCAUGGCAAAGGCCCUUAUACAUAAUAAAACUGUUCAGUGCAUCUCUUUUGGAAAGACAUAGAGUGCGACCAGGGUGCCUGUCUGGGACCUAGGAGUCCAGCUUUUAUUAAUCCAAAGCUUAGGCCAUAAAGCCAACUCUGAUCACCAAGGAAAAGUGGUGAAUUUAGGCCAUUCUGAUCAGAAAAACAAAAACACACAAUUGUAAGGGCAGAUAGCCCAGAAUAAGACUGAGAAAGCUGAGUUAAGAUUUGGAACAAGAAAAAGAGUGAAAAGCUACAUCAGAGCAGGAUGCUUCCUAGGGUGGAAGGAGGGUGCUCAGAGGCUAAUGUGAUGAAGAGCACUGCUAGAGGAGACUGGUGAGUUCAAGAGGGGGAAGGAUUGGGCAGACAAGGAGGCAUCUACUCUGCCUCUAUUACUGGCAUGGUCACACUCAGUUUUGAUGCUGUGACCGGAAAAAAAAUAAAAAUAAUAAAAAAUAAAUAAAAAUAAAAACCACCAGGCUCCCAAAUUAGACUUUUUUCCAAGAAUUGAGUUAUUUUACUCCAAGAUUGGAUUCAGUAAUCUCAGAAAGAGAUGCAAGAAAAUCAAUUUCCUGAUAAAGAAAAAAUAUCUCAUCAAAGAGCACUCUUGGGAGACAGACUGCAUGGCCAAGCGAACAUGUCCCCCGAUACAAAGGAAACAAAGAUUGCCAAGCAACAUGAAAUGAAUAGCAAAUAUUUAAAUUGGUAUAUCCAUCCACUCAGGAAAUGGGGUUUUAAUGAAAAAGCUAUCAAAACUAAUGAUAAGUAUUUUCUCCAUCUAAGUCCAGUCACCCUUCAUUGCUCACCCUAUAGACAGGACCCAGACCCUGGCUUAAGCCGCCAGUCUUCAUGGAGCUAUAGUUCACUACUCAAAUAGCACAAGGCUGAUGUUUGCCCUCAUUAUGUUUGUCUGUCUAUGUGCAUAGAAAUACCAGAAUCUUUGAGUCCCUGCAGUGUGUGCAGCAAGCUAGCUCCCAGUUCAGAUCUCAGGAACCAGCUCAUCAAAUCCAUGGUUUACAAGCUUUCAUAAAGGUCCUAAAUGCAAUCAUUGUUUUAAAAACUCAUCUGCUUAAAAUAAAAAAGGAAAGCAUUGCCAGGAACUGCUUAAAGGAAAACAAAAAACUCAUUUGAUAUUUUUUUUAACUUUGCCCAUCAGCUGCCAAGUAAACUUAUUAAAUCUUUGGUUUAUGAGGAAUCAUGAAACAUGUCCAAAAGCAAUUUUAUAUAGCCAGUAAGUAUCAACCAAAUACAUUGCUAUUUACUUUUACAGGUAUUUUUUUCCCUACAUCCCGCUGUAAACCUUUCAAAAGGAAGGUACCACAUCUUUUAUAUACUCCUUUAUUUUCUGUCACAGUUCCCUGAAUACAGUGGCCUUUCAAUCAAUGUUCAAUGUUCAAUCAAUGUUUUCAAGAGUGAAACACUGCAACUUCCAAUCACACAUUUAUUUGUUUCACUAAAAAUAACAUGAAAUUUUUUUAUCCAUUUUAAUGUGUUCUUCCUAUACCAUAGAAGGAAUUUCUUCACAAAUAAAGAGUAGAAGUUCUGUAUGCUAUGUGCAUACAUACAAGAUUUCUUUUACAAAAGUAUCAACAGGUAGAGUAUAACACCUUGAUUUCACAAACCAGAGGCCAAAAUUUUCUCACUAUUGCAUACUUUGUUUUGACUUGAGAUAUGAGAUAGAACGAGAGAAAGUGACAGGAUUGCUAAAGACUGAUCUAGCUUCAACAGACAUCAUCAAACACAGCAAGAAGUCUAUUAUGAUGUUAAGAUAUUAUCUUAAAAAGGAUAAUGGGGGCCCCUGUGUGGCUCAGCGGUUGAGCAUCUGCCUUCAGCUCAGGGCCUGAUCCUGGGAUCCAAGAUAGAGUCCCAUAUUGGGCUCCCUGCAGGGAGCCUGCUUCUCCCUCUGCCUGUGUCUCUGCCUCUGUCUCUGUGUGUCUCUCGUGAAUAAAUAAAUAAUAUCUUUUUUUAAAAAAGGAUAAUGGUAAAAAUAGCUUUCUAAAAUACUGUCGAAUAUGUGAGUGGUGAAAGGUAUAGAACAAAAACUAUUUAAAGAGCUACAGAUAUUGAUGGGAUAAUAGAAUGGCUGGAGACAGACUUAAGUAUUUCAGAGCAAAGAAUAUUAGUUUAAAAGGAAGGGAUCUCUAUUCUCUAAAACUCCCAUUGGAAGAAUAACCAGGGAAAAUGCUUCAAAUAAAGGCAGUUGGUUAGGACAGGGGAAGAAGGAAAGGUAGACAACAAUAUGGGGUUAAUAGCAUCUCCAACCAGGUUUUCCUUCCUAUCUUAGGUGCCAGCUAUGAAUGAGAGUCCUGUGCUAGCGUUCUUAGCCUCCAUCCUCAGUCCUCAUUUCACAGCAAUGGGUUUGGGAAUCAUGAAUGUGAGGGGGCUGGAGAAGAUAAUGAGUCUUCAAAUCACAAAUGGAAGACCUUGGACAUCAGCCUGCCUUUCUUCUCUGGCUGCAAUACGUGAUAUGGUAUGUGAGAGGAAGAGGGUCAUC